rnacentral:rRNA from 1 species
CAGUCGCCGCGGUAAUGCAGAGGAUGGAAGCGUUAUCCGAAAUGAUUGGGCGUAAAGCGUCUGUAGGUGGCUUUUCAAGUCCGCCGUCAAAUUCCAGGGCUCAACCCUGGACAGGCGGUGGAAACUACCAAGUUGGAGUACGGUAGGGGCAGAGGGAAUUUCUGGUGGAGCGGUGAAAUGCGUUGAAAUCGGAAAGAACACCAACGGCGAAAGCACUCUGCUGGGCCGACACUGACACUGAGAGACGAAAGCUAGGGGAGCAAAUGGGAUUAGAUACCCCCGUAGUCCCUGUCUCUUAUAC